GCAAGUCGAGCGGACCUUUUAAAGCUUGCUUUUGAAAGGUCAGCGGCGGACGGGUGAGUAACACGUGGGCAACCUGCCUGUAAGACUGGGAUAACUUCGGGAAACCGGAGCUAAUACCGGAUAAUAUAAGGAACCUCCUGGUUCUUUAUUGAAAGAUGGUUUCGGCUAUCACUUACAGAUGGGCCCGCGGCGCAUUAGCUAGUUGGUGAGGUAAUGGCUCACCAAGGCGACGAUGCGUAGCCGACCUGAGAGGGUGAUCGGCCACACUGGGACUGAGACACGGCCCAGACUCCUACGGGAGGCAGCAGUAGGGAAUCUUCCACAAUGGACGAAAGUCUGAUGGAGCAACGCCGCGUGAGCGAUGAAGGCCUUCGGGUCGUAAAGCUCUGUUGUUAGGGAAGAACAAGUGCGAGAGUAACUGCUCGCACCUUGACGGUACCUAACCAGAAAGCCACGGCUAACUACGUGCCAGCAGCCGCGGUAAUACGUAGGUGGCAAGCGUUGUCCGGAAUUAUUGGGCGUAAAGCGCGCGCAGGUGGUCCUUUAAGUCUGAUGUGAAAGCCCACGGCUCAACCGUGGAGGGUCAUUGGAAACUGGGGGACUUGAGUGCAGAAGAGGAAAGUGGAAUUCCAAGUGUAGCGGUGAAAUGCGUAGAGAUUUGGAGGAACACCAGUGGCGAAGGCGACUUUCUGGUCUGUAACUGACACUGAGGCGCGAAAGCGUGGGGAGCAAACAGGAUUAGAUACCCUGGUAGUCCACGCCG
rnacentral:rRNA from 1 species